rnacentral:rRNA from 1 species
UACGUAGGGGGCUAGCGUUGUCCGGAAUCAUUGGGCGUAAAGCGCGUGUAGGCGGUUCGGUAAGUCCGCUGUGAAAGUCGGGGGCUCAACCCUCGAAUGCCGGUGGAUACUGUCGGACUAGAGUACGGAAGAGGCGAGUGGAAUUCCUGGUGUAGCGGUGAAAUGCGCAGAUAUCAGGAAGAACACCAAUGGCGAAGGCAGCUCUCUGGGACGGUACUGACGCUGAGACGCGAAAGCGUGGGGAGCGAACAGG